rnacentral:tRNA from 1 species
GGGCGGGUGGCGAAACUGGUAGACGCAGCAGACUCAAAAUCUGCCGCCCUCAAAAGGCAUGAGAGUUCGAUUCUCUCCUCGCCCA